GAGCACAAAAUUAUAUUGCUCCCCAAAUUGAAGGGAGUGAGGGUGAGUGGAGCAAAAAAGCUGAAACACGUGGUCAUGAGCCACUCCCAAAUAGUUUUGGGUUUUCCUAGUCUUGAAACUGUCAGUGUUGAGAAUUGCUCUGACCUGAGAUAUCUCUUUCCCAAAUAUACGGCCACAACUUUGGAGAAACUUGAGUUGCUAGAAAUUACUAAAUGUGAACAAAUGAAGGAAGUGAUUCUCGAGAAAGAGGCUGGUCGAUCAGAGGCAGAAGUGAUGAGUUUUCCUUGCUUAAGUGAAUUAACACUUAAGGAACUCGAUAACCUGAUUAGUUUCGGUUCAGGAAGUGUCAGGAGGCAGCUAGGCCAGACAGCCGAAGAAAAUGAUGAAUCACCACGACCGCUGUUCAAUGAGAUGGUUCGUUCUAUUCUUUACUAUGAUCCUUUGUAUUCUCGCAUUAUCAUGUUUUAUAAUGAAGAAUGUAAUGAAUUUGUCCAACUUAUCCUCCUUUCUCACAUUAUCCUUGUGCAGGUCACAUUUCCCAAUAUGAGAAAUAUAAAAAUUGAAGGCGUUCCAUGCAAAGAGCUGUGGAACAAUCAUGUUCUCGCCGAUUCCAGUGUUUGUUCCCACCAAUUCCUUUCAAAAAAUGUUGAGGUUAAAAACUGUCCAUCCUUGAAAUCAUUGUUUGGUUUUGGGUCCCUAGAUUCAAAGAUGGAACAAAACGCGGUAUUGCUCCCUGAAUUUGAAAGGAUCGACAUUGAAAGCUGUCCCUCCCUGGAAUCGUUGUUUACUUGUGGGUCCCUUGAUUCAAAUGCGGAGCACAAAAUUAUAUUGCUCCCCAAAUUGAAGGGAGUGAGGGUGAGUGGAGCAAAAAAGCUGAAACACGUGGUCAUGAGCCACUCCCAAAUAGUUUUGGGUUUUCCUAGUCUUGAAACUGUCAGUGUUGAGAAUUGCUCUAACCUGAGAUAUCUCUUCCCCAAAUAUACGGCCACAACUUUGGAGAAACUUGAGUUGCUAGAAAUUACUAAAUGCGAACAAAUGAAGGAAGUGAUUCUCGAGAAAGAGGCUGGUCGAUCAAAGGCAGAAGUGAUGAGUUUCCCUUGCUUAAGUGAAUUA
rnacentral:lncRNA from 1 species